AUUGAACGCUGGCGGCAUGCCUUACACAUGCAAGUCGAACGGUAACAGGUCUUCGGAUGCUGACGAGUGGCGAACGGGUGAGUAAUACACCGGAACGUGCCCGAUCGUGGGGGAUAACGAAGCGAAAGCUUUGCUAAUACCGCAUAAGAUCUACGGAUGAAAGCAGGGGACCGCAAGGCCUUGCGCGACCGGAGCGGCCGAUGGCAGAUUAGGUAGUUGGUGGGAUAAAAGCUUACCAAGCCGACGAUCUGUAGCUGGUCUGAGAGGACGACCAGCCACACUGGGACUGAGACACGGCCCAGACUCCUACGGGAGGCAGCAGUGGGGAAUUUUGGACAAUGGGCGAAAGCCUGAUCCAGCCAUGCCGCGUGCAGGAUGAAGGCCUUCGGGUUGUAAACUGCUUUUGUACGGAACGAAAAGACUCUUUCUAAUAAAGAGGGUCCAUGACGGUACCGUAAGAAUAAGCACCGGCUAACUACGUGCCAGCCGCCGCCGUAACAC
rnacentral:rRNA from 1 species